GGAUGAAUAGAAUACCUAGAACAAUGAGCCUCUUCAAGAAUCAAUCUGAUCAAAUCACCAACCUUGGGCACACAUAUCCGGCCCUCAAUCCUCAAUACACCCUCGGAGUCAAUCUUAGCCUUCUUGGCUUCACCACUCGUCACCUUGUCCCGGAUGAGACAUAACUUCCCAUCCUCAUACUGAUGCUCUCUAAUCUGCUCCAUCAAAGAUGAAC
rnacentral:lncRNA from 1 species